rnacentral:tRNA from 1 species
GCUGCGGUGGCCGAGUGGUCUAAGGCGGCAGAUUUAAGCUCUGCUCUCGAGAGAGGCGCGAGUUCAAACCUCGUCCGCAGCA